GCUGUCUCCACGGAGAGCGGGGCAGCAGGUUCACCUCCUGUCUCCCUGGAAAUGCGCCUGGCUUCACUUUCCUCUCGUAAGUACUUGCAUAGCAUUGUUAGAUAAAUGUUAUGUGUGUGUGUGCGUGCGCAUUUAAACAUACACACACGUAUGUGAUUUUACUGUAUAUGAAGUUAAUUUAUUACAUACAUGUAUUUCAGGCCAUCCGCAACUUGUCGACGUUUCUUCACCACGUACGAGUGCGGUUUCCCUCCAACAGCCGGCCACUGGUGUCCAGGAACAGGGAUCCACUGCUGAGCGUAAGUAAAAAAUGCUUUAACCGUACACAUUUUCUUUGCAGGCAUACUAGUUUAUGUAACAGGCAGGGCCGGGUCGACCGCUAAGCAUACUAAGCAUCUGCCUAGCACGCAAUGGCCAGAGGGCUAAAUGUCUGGGUGACCAGCAGGGGUGGGGGGGAGCUCACAUCGCUCCUCCCCUUCUGUUCACUUUAUGUACUGUGGCUGAGUGGACCACGUGUGAUCUUAUCUACCAUCUUCUUGGCCUGACAGGAAGCUGAGUGCAACGAUCAGCUUCCUGUCAUGCAGAAGAAACAGGAGAUUCUCUACCUGGGGACGCUCGUCCACGAUACAUGUAGUGAGAUUAGAAUGAAAGGUAGGUGGGCACAAAGACAUGCAAACAGACAGAGAAAGGGCUAGGGGGGACAAAGAUGCAUAACUAUACUUAGACAUAAUAAAUUAAUAGCAUGACUGCAUAUAUCUUAUUUCCAAGUUUAAAUAAUAUUGUUUUACAGAUAAUAGUAAGCAUUGCAACAUAUGACACAUGCUAACAAUGUUCUUUCUCUGUUCUCCCCUAUAGGUUCUGAUGGUACUCUCCCCCUGCAAGAGGAGGGUACCAUUACCCUAACAGCAGUGGAUCCUGAUUCAGAGACAUCAGUGGCCGAAGAAAUGCAGUUGCCACAUCUUCCUCCACCAUUGGCUGCGCUGUAUGCGUCAGGCUCGUCAAGCUGAACUGGAGACGUCCAUACAGCAGGAUAGGGAGAAUCAGUGAGAACUAUUGCAGAAUGUAAUAACCGAGGUACGCUCCAUGUCGAACAUUUUGAAUGAGGGUGUUAGGCAAUUUACAUCAGCAAUGGUUUCCUUGCAGCAAAAUAUGCAGCGCUUUAUGGAAAUGAGGGAGGAAGAGUGCAUUUUAAUGCGCGCGCAAGCUGCCCAUAAUUUGGGCAUAACCAUCGCUGAUGUAGAUAGCCUAGUUCGUGAAAGACGUGCGCAGGGUCUUCCCAGAAGGGAUGAUGAUGAUGAAUAGAUAUCUGUGGGAAGAAUGCACUCAGAUGUUUAUUUCUCAUUAUCAUCCACAAUGUGAACACAACUGACGCUGUUCAUCGUAGGUUGUUACAUUCUCAAUUUCCUCCUGGUUUUCCCUAUCCUUCCCCUGAAUAUACAUUGGUUCAUUCUCCUCUGCACUAUAUCCUCCCAGGACUGCUCCUAACAACCUGGGCUGCCUCUGCUUUGUUGCUUCUCCC